AAAGCAUGCUGUGGACACUUCCACAAGAAAUCCUUAAAUCACUCCCAUGUCUUAAACAAGGAUUCAAGCUCCAUCUGAACAAACAAUGAUAUUUCAUUAUGAAGUUU